UACGAAGGGGGCUAGCGUUGCUCGGAAUCACUGGGCGUAAAGGGCGCGUAGGCGGCCUGCUAAGUCGAACGUGAAAUCCCUGGGCUCAACCCAGGAACUGCGUCCGAUACUGGUUGGCUUGAAUCCGGGAGAGGGACGUGGAAUUCCAGGUGUAGCGGUGAAAUGCGUAGAUAUCUGGAGGAACACCGGUGGCGAAGGCGACGUCCUGGACCGGCAUUGGACGGACUGAGGCGGCGAAAGCCAGGGGAGCAAACGGG
rnacentral:rRNA from 1 species